rnacentral:rRNA from 1 species
CCUACGGGGGGCUGCAGUGGGGAAUAUUGGACAAUGGGCGAAAGCCUGAUCCAGCCAUGCCGCGUGUGUGAAGAAGGUCUUCGGAUUGUAAAGCACUUUAAGUUGGGAGGAAGGGCAGUUACCUAAUACGUGAUUGUUUUGACGUUACCGACAGAAUAAGCACCGGCUAACUCUGUGCCAGCAGCCGCGGUAAUACAGAGGGUGCAAGCGUUAAUCGGAAUUACUGGGCGUAAAGCGCGCGUAGGUGGUUAGUUAAGUUGGAUGUGAAAUCCCCGGGCUCAACCUGGGAACUGCAUUCAAAACUGACUGACUAGAGUAUGGUAGAGGGUGGUGGAAUUUCCUGUGUAGCGGUGAAAUGCGUAGAUAUAGGAAGGAACACCAGUGGCGAAGGCGACCACCUGGACUGAUACUGACACUGAGGUGCGAAAGCGUGGGGAGCAAACAGGAUUAGAUACCCCAGUAGUC